GUCCUCGUGGAGUGUGGUAACUCACUCCCACCUGUUUGUGGCAUCCAAAUAGUAACAAAUUCGUGGGAGGGUCGGUGGUUCGAAUCCACCCGGGGACA